rnacentral:rRNA from 1 species
CAGGCUUAACACAUGCAAGUCGAGGGGCAUCAGGAAGAAAGCUUGCUUUCUUUGCUGGCGACCGGCGCACGGGUGAGUAACACGUAUCCAACCUGCCCUUUACUCGGGGAUAGCCUUUCGAAAGAAAGAUUAAUACCCGAUAGCAUAAUGAUUCCGCAUGGUUUCAUUAUUAAAGGAUUCCGGUAAAGGAUGGGGAUGCGUUCCAUUAGGUUGUUGGUGAGGUAACGGCCCACCAAGCCUUCGAUGGAUAGGGGUUCUGAGAGGAAGGUCCCCCACAUUGGAACUGAGACACGGUCCAAACUCCUACGGGAGGCAGCAGUGAGGAAUAUUGGUCAAUGGGCGCUAGCCUGAACCAGCCAAGUAGCGUGAAGGAUGAAGGCUCUAUGGGUCGUAAACUUCUUUUAUAUAAGAAUAAAGUGCAGUAUGUAUACUGUUUUGUAUGUAUUAUAUGAAUAAGGAUCGGCUAACUCCGUGCCAGCAGCCGCGGUAAUACGGAGGAUCCGAGCGUUAUCCGGAUUUAUUGGGUUUAAAGGGAGCGUAGGUGGACUGGUAAGUCAGUUGUGAAAGUUUGCGGCUCAACCGUAAAAUUGCAGUUGAUACUGUCAGUCUUGAGUACAGUAGAGGUGGGCGGAAUUCGUGGUGUAGCGGUGAAAUGCUUAGAUAUCACGAAGAACUCCGAUUGCGAAGGCAGCUCACUGGACUGCAACUGACACUGAUGCUCGAAAGUGUGGGUAUCAAACAGGAUUAGAUACCCUGGUAGUCCACACAGUAAACGAUGAAUACUCGCUGUUUGCGAUAUACAGUAAGCGGCCAAGCGAAAGCAUUAAGUAUUCCACCUGGGGAGUACGCCGGCAACGGUGAAACUCAAAGGAAUUGACGGGGGCCCGCACAAGCGGAGGAACAUGUGGUUUAAUUCGAUGAUACGCGAGGAACCUUACCCGGGCUUAAAUUGCAGUGGAAUGAUGUGGAAACAUGUCAGUGAGCAAUCACCGCUGUGAAGGUGCUGCAUGGUUGUCGUCAGCUCGUGCCGUGAGGUGUCGGCUUAAGUGCCAUAACGAGCGCAACCCUUAUCUUUAGUUACUAACAGGUUAUGCUGAGGACUCUAGAGAGACUGCCGUCGUAAGAUGUGAGGAAGGUGGGGAUGACGUCAAAUCAGCACGGCCCUUACGUCCGGGGCUACACACGUGUUACAAUGGGGGGUACAGAAGGCAGCUAGCGGGUGACCGUAUGCUAAUCCCAAAAUCCUCUCUCAGUUCGGAUCGAAGUCUGCAACCCGACUUCGUGAAGCUGGAUUCGCUAGUAAUCGCGCAUCAGCCACGGCGCGGUGAAUACGUUCCCGGGCCUUGUACACACCGCCCGUCAAGCCAUGGGAGCCGGGGGUACCUGAAGUACGUAACCGCAAGGAUCGUCCUAGGGUAAAACUGGUGACUGGGG